rnacentral:rRNA from 1 species
ACGCUGGCGGCACGCCUAACACAUGCAAGUCGAACGAAGUAGCAAUACUUAGUGGCAGACGGGUGAGUAACAUGUAGGUAUCUGCCCUUUGGCCUGGAAUAACACGAGGAAACUUGUGCUAAUACCGGAUAAGUCUUUACAGAGAAAGCUUUAUGCACCAUUGGAUGAGCCUGCACUUGAUUAGUUUGUUGGUGGGGUAAUGGCCUACCAAGACUGUGAUCAAUAGCUGAUUUGAGAGGAUGAUCAGCCACAUUGGGACUGAGACACGGCCCAAACUCCUACGGGAGGCAGCAGUGGGGAAUCUUGCACAAUGGAGGAAACUCUGAUGCAGCGAUGCCGCGUGAGUGAAGAAGGCCUUUGGGUUGUAAAGCUCUUUCGUCGGGGAAGAAAAUGACUGUACCCGAAUAAGAAGGUCCGGCUAACUUCGUGCCAGCAGCCGCGGUAAUACGAAGGGACCUAGCGUAGUUCGGAAUUACUGGGCUUAAAGAGUUCGUAGGUGGUUGAAAAAGUUAGUGGUGAAAUCCCAGAGCUUAACUCUGGAACUGCCAUUAAAACUUUUCAGCUAGAGUAUGAUAGAGGAAAGCAGAAUUUCUAGUGUAGAGGUGAAAUUCGUAGAUAUUAGAAAGAAUACCAAUUGCGAAGGCAGCUUUCUGGAUCAUUACUGACACUGAGGAACGAAAGCAUGGGUAGCGAAGAGGAUUAGAUACCCUCGUAGUCCAUGCCGUAAACGAUGUGUGUUAGACGUUGGAAAUUUAUUUUCAGUGUCGCAGCGAAAGCGAUAAACACACCGCCUGGGGAGUACGACCGCAAGGUUAAAACUCAAAUGAAUUGACGGGGACCCGCACAAGUAGUGGAGCAUGUGGUUUAAUUCGAAGAUACGCGCAGAACCUUACCAACACUUGACAUGUUCGUCGCGACUCUAAGAGAUUAGAGUUUUCGGUUCGGCCGGACGAAACACAGGUGCUGCAUGACUGUCGUCAGCUCGUGUCGUGAGAUGUUGGGUUAAGUCCCGCAACGAGCGCAACCCUCGCUUUUAGUUGCCAUCAUUAAGUUGGGCACUCUGAAAGAACUGCCAGUGAUAAGCUGGAGGAAGGUGGGGAUGACGUCAAGUCCUCAUGGCCCUUACGUGUUGGGCUACACACGUGCUACAAUGGUAUCUACAACAGGAAGCAAGACUGCGAAGUUAAGCAAAUCCCUAAAAGAUACCUCAGUUCGGAUUGCACUCUGCAACUCGAGUGCAUGAAGCUGGAAUUACUAGUAAUCGUGGAUCAGCGUGCCACGGUGAAUGCGUUCCCGGGUCUUGUACUCACCGC